rnacentral:rRNA from 1 species
CAGAGGGGGCAAGCGUUAUUCGGAAUUAUUGGGCGUAAAGGGCGCGUAGGCGGCUUGGCAAGUGGAAGGUGAAAUCCCUCGGCUUAACCGAGGAACUGCCCUCCAAACUGCUUUGCUUGAGGCCGGGAGAGGUGAGAGGAAUUCCCAGUGUAGCGGUGAAAUGCGUAGAUAUUGGGAGGAACACCAGUGGCGAAGGCGGCUCACUGGACCGGUUCUGACGCUGAGGCGCGAAAGCGUGGGGAGCAAACGGGAUUAGAUACCCCGGUAGUCCACGCUGUAAACGAUGAGUGCUUGGUGUAGCGGGUAUCGACCCCUGCUGUGCCGAAGUCAACACAUUAAGCACUCCGCCUGGGGAGUACGGUCGCAAGGCUG